UCUUACUGACGUCUUUUUGAACACUGUCCUCUGACUUUCCAGUCACUCCAGUUAUGAGAGUUGACAAAAUGGCGGAGCUGGGGAGGAUGAUGAGGCUAAGCCAGUGUUGUAGUGAAUGUUCAACAGUGCUGCGCUAAGUGGGAAAGUCGCAGACUGGCAUACUUGCCUUAAGUUACCAGUUAACGCUAGCUAGCUAUCUUGGUUGGUCAGAUUGCUGAACAAGAAAUUUUUAGGUGACCAAAUGUUCCAGUUAACUUAGAUGAAGUGAAAACACAGUGAGAAGGUCAAAGUUUAAGAUAAACACGAACAACACCCAAGAACAAAUUCAGGCCUAUUUUAAUGUCCACAGUGUUAGCAUGGUUAGCAUUGCUAAGCCUGUGGUAUGAUUGACAGGUCGGCGCAUAGCCACGCUCCUGAAGAGUCCCCUUCUUGAUCAUCUUUUAAGAUAAAUGGGACCAAAAUUUACAAAAUGAACAUCAUGCUGUACUGAAGAAGACUUGAAAGUACAACUCAUUAGGAAAAUAAUAUAGAUUCUUGUUGGAGCCAGUGGAGUCUGCUGGAAGAUAAGAUUCAGCUUUAAAACACUUUAGCACCACUUUUCAUGCCCGAAAGUUGCUGAAGGCUACUUUACCUGAGAAACACCAACGUAUUGAACAACCUGCAGACAAUUUUAAGUAUUAUUUUACUACAUUAGAAGCCAGAAGGCUAAUGCUAAUUAGCCGUUGAUGCACAAACACUCUACGUUUGUCCAUAUAGUGUGUCUGUUUUUCUGUCUGUCUGUUAUUUUAACUUUACAUCUAUAAAUAUUAUGUUAGGGGUUGCUGGAUGAAAACUGUCCCCAGAUAAUAAAUACAGUUACUCUGUUGGAUAAAAUAUUUAUAUUUAAAGCUCUAUCACAAACUUCUCUGAAUCUAAGUAUUCCUAUUAAAUACAUUGCAAAGCCAAAUAUUUAAGAAAGAAAUGUGUGGAAAUAUAGAUAUUACGCUCUACCUGUCAUGUAUUUUACUGUAUUUGAAUAACUGAAGGGAUCCAUAAAUCGUUUUGUAUUUAUUGAUUUAUUUUCUUUUGUGUGGGAUUUCCGUGUGUGUUGAGUGUGUUGUAUGCCUGUUAUUAAAUGAUAAAUAAGUGAUCUGAUAAA